GCUGCUGAUAGGUGGCCACGUACUGCUGCA
rnacentral:piRNA from 1 species